GGCGAGUGAAGCGGCAACAGCUCAAAUUUGAAAUCUGGCCCUAGGCCCGAGUUGUAAUUUGCAGAGGAUGCUUUUGGCGAGGUGCCUUCCGAGUUCCCUGGAACGGGACGCCAUAGAGGGUGAGAGCCCCGUCUGGUCGGACACCGAGCCUCUGUAAAGCUCCUUCGACGAGUCGAGUAGUUUGGGAAUGCUGCUCUAAAUGGGAGGUAUAUGUCUUCUAAAGCUAAAUACCGGCCAGAGACCGAUAGCGCACAAGUAGAGUGAUCGAAAGAUGAAAAGCACUUUGAAAAGAGAGUUAAAUAGCACGUGAAAUUGUUGAAAGGGAAGCGUUUACGACCAGACUUGGGCCGGUUGAUCAUCCAGCGUUCUCGCUGGUGCACUCUGCCGGCCCAGGCCAGCAUCAGUUCGCCCCGGGGGAUAAAGGCGGCGGGAAUGUGGCUCCUCGGAGUGUUAUAGCCCGCCGUGCAAUACCCUGAGGUGGACUGAGGUUCGCGCUCUGCAAGGAUGCUGGCGUAAUGGUCGUCAACGACCCGUCUUGAAACACGGACCAAGGAGUCGUCUUCGUAUGCGAGUGUUCGGGUGUAAAACCCCUACGCGUAAUGAAAGUGAACGCAGGUGAGAGCUUCGGCGCAUCAUCGACCGAUCCUGAUGUUCUCGGAUGGAUUUGAGUAAGAGCAUACGGGGCCGGACCCGAAAGAAGGUGAACUAUGCCUGUAUAGGGUGAAGCCAGAGGAAACUCUGGUGGAGGCUCGCAGCGGUUCUGACGUGCAAAUCGAUCGUCAAAUAUGGGCAUGGGGGCGAAAGACUAAUCGA
rnacentral:rRNA from 1 species